UUUGUAUCGCUGCUGAAUAAGAAAAAAUAGCCACGAUCGAUGUUCAAGAUUAGAUCGAGGUUAGAUAGCAACAAUAUUGAAAUCAACAAAUACUACGGUUUUCCACUGACUUGGUAUUGACCAAUCAGGUGAUCGUAUUCACCGUUCAGAAUCUGAACGGCGUGUAGUCAUGAAAGACGGGCUUUCCUGCAGGCCCUUAAUCCUCCCCCGGAGCCCGCCAAAAUCCUGCCCGCUGCAAAUCAGGCCCCCCAUAAACUUGAGGGCCUGCCACGCAGGCUA